UAUUUUUAAAAAGAGCUUCAGUAUAUGAAUAUGUGAUGUUUAAUAUAAGCUUAAAAGUAAGAAGUCCCUUCCCUUAUUUUCUUAGAGUACAACUGUAGGCAAUUAGAAUACAUUGAAGUGGGUUAAAAGGCAGAACCUAACUUGAACUUCCUUUUGACCACCUGUACGGUAUAUUCUCAACACUGGGGCCAUUGGUUUUGUGGCUUUGUUUCCUGCUCACUGGACUGCCUGGAGGAUGGGCUUAGGGUGUGACUUUGCUCAUUUCCUUUUUGUCACCUCACAAAGCCCUGCUUUGUUUGCUUUAUCUAAGACCUCUGUGCUACCUAGCUAAGUUUGGCUUCCUGUCCAAUGCUGUUCACUCUGUCUCCAUGGAUCCAGCUCAAUUGGAAGAAAAAGCAGAUGAAGGCCUGAAUGUCUACUGAGUUUUCAGUGACUUCCUCAAACUUCUCACUUACCUUUCAGUGCUGGCAUCGUCCAGUUAACAUCUCUGAAAGGUACGGAUACAAGUUAUCUACAGGGUAACACCUGUAGAUAUGAUGCAACAGGCUUAUGCCAUUGGAGAGUGAAUAGUCAACCUUCUGAAAACAGUGUACACCACCGGAAGGGCAAGAAAAAAAACUACAAUAUAGAACAUCUUUCUGACCUUGAGGUCAGGAAGUCCUCCUCGACAAGACACAAAAAAGAAAAAUCACAAAGGAAAAGAAUGACAACUUGACUCCAUCAAAAUUAAAAACAGGUGCACAUCAGAAUAUACCAUAUAUACAAUUAAAAGAUAAGUAAUGAUAUAGAAGAAACUAAUUGCCUCACACAAAGCAAACUUGGACUGCUUUCUAGAAAGUAAAAAGGAAUCCUAAAAUAAUCAAUAUGAAAAAGACAAACAACCAAAUAAAACAAAAUAAA
rnacentral:lncRNA from 1 species